rnacentral:rRNA from 1 species
GACGGAGGGGGCUAGCGUUGUUCGGAAUUACUGGGCGUAAAGAGCGCGUAGGCGGAUUAAUAAGUUGGGAGUGAAAGCCCGGGGCUUAACCUCGGAAUUGCUUUCAAAACUGUUAGUCUUGAGUGAAGUAGGGGGUGAUGGAAUUCCUAGUGUAGAGGUGAAAUUCUUAGAUAUUAGGAGGAACACCGGUGGCGAAGGCGGUCACCUGGGCUUCAACUGACGCUGAGGCGCGAAAGCGUGGGGAGCAAACAGG